CUCCCCUGGCAUUUUAUUACUCGGUGUGCUUGGCUUAUCACUCAAAGGAGCUUUGGUUUGGUGUCCAGCAACUACUGAGGGAAAUAUCUGAAUCUUCAGCUGAGCAAAAGGGAGACGGAGAGGAGGAGAACGACAGAAAGAGG